GGGUGUGAUCGGCUUGUCAGAUUAGACAGUGAGAAUGAAUGCAAAUCGUUUUAAAAUAUCGAAUAAUUUACGCUUCUUUGAAAAUCAUGGUCUGCUGUGGCGGCCCUCGCUAAUGUCUCAAUGGACUGUCAACUUUGUAUAUGAGGAUUUUUAUUGUAACUGUCACUGUGUUACCAGACUGACUGAUGUAUCCCAGGAGUGUAUAGUGUCAACCUUGGUGGAUCCGGGUUAGCUACAUCUGCGCCAAUAGCUACUGAACUAAGACCAGCAACUUACUUCAGAGUGGAAGAACGCCAGACAGAAGCCAACGACUGUCAGUUUGCAUAAAUCUUCCACCAGGCUGUUUAUAAGCCCAUGGAAACAGAAGAAGAUAAUUUAACAACCAACAUGGAGAGUAACUAGAGGUCAUGGGUCAGUAUUAGUCAGAGAAUGAAGAUAAUGGUGAAACAGCACACGAUCUGAAAAUCUGACUUAAGAGAGAAACUGGAGAGUCUGAGUCAGCAUCAGCCAGAGUAUGUAAAGGAGAUCAACUCAGCUAGGAGCAGUCUGAGAGUCGAGAGAACCAGGACUGUCUUUGACAUCACGGAGCAGAGAAUCCAGUGUUAACCUGAACUUGUUUACCAGUGAGUGUCUUGUCAGAUGUGCUUUCCAACUUAUAUUUUUGGAUAUAAAA